rnacentral:rRNA from 1 species
CCUACGGGUGGCAGCAGUGGGGAAUAUUGCACAAUGGGGGAGAGCCUGAACCAGCCAAGUCGCGUGAAGGAUGACGGCCCUACGGGUUGUAAACUUCUUUUGUCAGGGAGCAAUUGGGUCCACGCGUGGGCUUAGCGAGAGUACCUGAAGAAAAAGCAUCGGCUAACUCCGUGCCAGCAGCCGCGGUAAUACGGAGGAUGCGAGCGUUAUCCGGAUUUAUUGGGUUUAAAGGGUGCGAAGGCGGAAUAUCAAGUCAGCGGUAAAAAUUCGGGGCUCAACCCGGACGUGCCGUUGAAACUGGUGUGCUUGAGUGGGCGAGAGCUAUGCGGAAUGCGUGGUGUAGCGGUGAAAUGCAUAGAUAUCACGCAGAACUCCGAUUGCGAAGGCAGCAUACCGGCGCCAAACUGACGCUGAGGUACGAAAGCGUGGGUAUCGAACAGGAUUAGAUACCCCAGUAGUC